rnacentral:misc_RNA from 1 species
AGAAGAUUCAUUCAGCAAACUUCAAGCCAAAAUAUGAUCAAACGAAACCAGCAAACGAGAAAGCAGACAACUUGAUGGCACAUUUUCCUGCUUAUGAAACCAGAUCAAAUUUGUGUUGAACACACAAUUUAUCAUGAUAAAAAGAAAAUGGGAUUCAUUGCCAGUAUAUCCCAGCUAAACAAAAUUUAAGUAUGGAAAGCAAAUUGAUUAUAAUUUCCAUAGAUUUGAAGAAUCAAAUGCCCCAAUACGAAAGUGUGAUAAGUUAGCAAGGGA